UACGUAGGAGGCGAGCGUUGUCCGGAAUUACUGGGCGUAAAGAGCGCGUAGGCGGCACUGUACGACCGCUGUGAAAGACCCCGGCUCAACCGGGGAAUGGGGCUGGAAACUGGGUUUCUUGAGGGCGAUAGAGGAGUGUGGAAUUCCUGGUGUAGCGGUGAAAUGCGCAGAUAUCAGGAGGAACACCGGUGGCGAAGGCGGUUCUCUGGGCCUGUACUGACGCUGAGGAGCGAAAGCGUGGGGAGCAAACAGG
rnacentral:rRNA from 1 species